rnacentral:rRNA from 1 species
UACGUAGGGAGCUCGCGUUGUCCGGAAUUACUGGACGUAAAGGGCGUGGAGGCGGACUAUUAAGUCAGGUGUGAAAACUCUGGGCUCAACCUCGAGAUGGCACUUGAAACUUGAAGUCUUGAGUGCAGGAGAGGGAAGUGGAAUUCCUAGUGUAGCGGUGAAAUGCGUAGAUAUUAGGAGGAACACCAGUGGCGAAGGCGCCUUCCUGGCCUGUAACUGACGCUGAGUCGCGAAAGCGUGGGGAGCAAACAGG